AGGAAGGAUAUCAUAGUAACAGUCCUUGUGAAUUCUUCCCCCCCAGUUUUUCUUAGCAAAGUAGGUUUUAUUUUUCUAAUAAUCUGAUCAAUGUUGAUAUAAAAAUUUCAGAAAUCAAUGGGUGAUUGAUUUUUUUCACAUAAAAUCCUCAUCAUCAAAAGUGGAAUAAUGUGUGGAACAAAAUUAGAGAGAUACCAUCUUCAUAAGGAAGAUCUGCAGGAUUUUUUAUUUAUUCUAACGUUCUACCAUUCAGUGAUACAGAACUAAAUUCUCCUUUAUGGAAGUGUACCUAGGAGAAAACCAUAUAUUAUCGAUUUGAAAACAUCAAAUAUAGAGGUUUUUUCAUGGCUAUGAAUGGGAAAAUUUCCAUUUAGAAUUUGUCUAAAUUAACAUUCAUCUACCAGACUGUUCUCAGAGUGUUCUCAGAAGAUCAACAAUUAUUCAUAGCAAUGUCAAAAUUAUCUGGGAGAAGCAAGCAUUUAUUUUAGAAAUACAGACCUUAGCUCAUUGAUACAUGUUCAAGGUAUGCUUCAGACCUCUGGAAACAGGAGGCCACAGCUUGUAGAUAUACUCUUUUUCCUAGCUUCAGCAACGUGACAGUUAAGUGAAGUCUAUGGGUGCAAAGAAAAAGUUUCCUAUAAAUAAAUAAAAUACAUGUCCCUGAAAGUAAAAUGGUACCUUGUAUUCAUUAACAAAAUUCUCUAUUAUCACUCAGCUACAUAGAGAGGAUUUUUUAUAGUGGUAGGGUCAGAAGAUCCAGCAUUCCAAAGAUGAUACAUCUGUGGAAGACUUUCAAGCAUUCAGAUAAAAGCAUGCAACAAGCCUCUAACAUGACCACAAAUCUAUUUUCUUUGUAUCCCUAACUUGUUUUGUUUAUUAUCAGAGCAGGUGUGUUAUAGCAAUUAGAGCUUCUGAUGCAACCUUAUCUCAGAGAAGUAAGUAAAUAGAGCAAGUAUGCUAUUAAUUCAAAGAUAUUUUUUCUCUCUUAGAAGGACCAUCUGGUUACUCAAAGGAAAAUGCUUAUCCAUUUCUCUGAACAGAGUGACAGAAUUAGUGCCAACCCUCUGGAAGUAUUACUGUUAUAUACUGUGUCAAUUGUGAACACAAACAUCCACGUUUAACGUCACAUUUGAAUUGGAGGAAGAAGUGGACAGCUUAAGCAGUCUCCUUAAAUAUGAUAUGGGUAAAAGUAACAGUGAUAGCUCCUGCAAUGAUAAGUAUGAGUGCUCCACUUGCAGAAUAGAUAAUACAGGGA
rnacentral:lncRNA from 1 species